GACGAACGCUGGCGGCGUGCUUAACACAUGCAAGUCGAACGGAAAGGCCCUGCUUUUGUGGGGUGCUCGAGUGGCGAACGGGUGAGUAACACGUGAGUAACCUGCCCUUGACUUUGGGAUAACUUCAGGAAACUGGGGCUAAUACCGGAUAGGAGCUCCUGCUGCAUGGUGGGGGUUGGAAAGUUUCGGCGGUUGGGGAUGGACUAGCGGCUUAUCAGCUUGUUGGUGGGGUAGUGGCUUACCAAGGCUUUGACGGGGAGCCGGCCUGAGAGGGUGACCAGCCACAGUGGGACUGAGAUAGGGCCCAGACGCCUACGGGAGGCAGCAGUGGGGAAGAUUGCACAAUGGGCGGAAGCCUGAUGCAGCAACGCCGCGUGCGGGAUGACGGCCUUCGGGUUGGAAACCGCUUUCGCCUGUGACGAAGCGUGAGUGACGGUAAUGGGUAAAGAAGCACCGGCUAACUACGUG
rnacentral:rRNA from 1 species